UUGCGCCUACGGGACGCAGCAGUGGGGAAUAUUGCACAAUGGGGGAAACCCUGAUGCAGCGACGCCGCGUGAAGGAUGAAGUAUUUCGGUAUGUAAACUUCUCUCAGCAGGGAAGAAAAUGACGGUACCUGACUAAGAAGCCCCGGCUAACUACGUGCCAGCAGCCGCGGUAAUACGUAGGGGGCAAGCGUUAUCCGGAUUUACUGGGUGUAAAGGGAGCGUAGACGGCAUGGCAAGUCUGAUGUGAAACCCCGGGGCUCAACCCCGGGACUGCAUUGGAAACUGUCAGGCUAGCGUGUCGGAGG
rnacentral:rRNA from 1 species